rnacentral:misc_RNA from 1 species
AAAGUCGUAACAAGGUAACCGUAGGUGAACCUGCGGUUGGAUCAUUAAAAAAUUCAACUUAAAGGGGAGAGCAAUCUCCUUCUUUAAACACAUGUGAACUGUAUUUUGGUGGGUCAAGCUUGCUUGCCCGCUCUUUUAAACUCUUUGAUUUAUUUUGGACUAAAGUUUAAGAAUAUUAAUUUCUAACAACUUUUGGCAACGGAUCUCUUGGUUCUC